rnacentral:tRNA from 1 species
GAGGGUAUAGCUCAGUGGUAGGGCGCAUGCUUAGCAUGGAUGAGAUCCUGUGUUCAACCCCCAGUACCACCA